GUCGGGAAUUUUGCACAAUGGCCGAAAGGCUGAUGCAGCAACGCCGCGUGAGCGAAGAAGGCCUUCGGGUUGUAAAGCUCUGUUGCCCGUGACGAAGGGUCCUGUCAGGAAAUGGGCAGGGUUUGACGGUAGCGGGCGAGGAAGCCCCGGCAAACUACGUGCCAGCAGCCGCGGUAAUACGUAGGGGGCGAGCGUUGUCCGGAAUUACUGGGCGUAAAGGGCGUGUAGGCGGCCUGUUAAGUCAGGGGUGAAAGACCGGGGCUCAACCCCGGGGGUGCCUCUGAAACUGGCGGGCUUGAGUGCUCUAGAGGGCAGUGGAAUUCCCGGUGUAGCAGUGAAAUGCGUAGAGAUCGGGAGGAACACCAGUGGCGAAGGCGGCUGCCUGGGGAGUAACUGACGCUGAGGCGCGAAAGCUAGGGGAGCAAACAGGAUUAGAAACCCUAGUAGUCC
rnacentral:rRNA from 1 species